rnacentral:rRNA from 1 species
AAGAUGGCGACCGGCGCACGGGUGAGUAACACGUAUCCAACCUGCCGAUAACUCCGGAAUAGCCUUUCGAAAGAAAGAUUAAUACCGGAUGGCAUACGAAUAUCGCAUGAUAUUUUUAUUAAAGGAUUUCGGUUAUCGAUGGGGAUGCGUUCCAUUAGUUUGUUGGCGGGGUAACGGCCCACCAAGACUACGAUGGAUAGGGGUUCUGAGAGGAAGGUCCCCCACAUUGGAACUGAGACACGGUCCAA